CCUUCCAAUGCGCCGUCUUGUCCUCUCGCUCGCCUCCUUUCAGCAGCGGCGGCCCUGCAAGCAAGCCGGACAAAUGUGAACGCAACACCUGACCGAUCGAUAGUGAAGGGAAGCUGACCCGAUCGCUGGCGCUGGAGACGGUGGUUAGUGUUGGGAGAGGGAAGAAGAGAGAGAGAGAGAGAGUGAAGAUAGAGAAGUCGGCGCUGGAGGGGGGAGGAGGAAAGAGGCGGGGAGAAGGCGGCGGACAGAUAGAUGCCUGGCCGCUAUCCGCGGUGCUGAAUGAUUAGCCCAGUGCACGUCUCCACCUCCCGCGGCAGCACCCCAGGAAAGAGACCUCCCUCCACGACAUGUCUGAUCGAGGAGAUGGGCAAGGGCGACGACAACGAUCGCAUCGUGAUAAACGUGGGCGGGACUAGGCACGAAACGUACCGGAGCACCCUGAAGACCCUGCCCGGCACUCGGCUGGCAUGGCUCACCGAACCCGGCGCCUUCGCCAAUUUCGACUACGACCCCAAAGCGGGCGAGUUCUUCUUCGAUCGCCACCCGGGCGUCUUCGCUCACAUCCUCAACUACUACCGCACGGGCAAACUGCACUGCCCGGCCGACGUGUGCGGACCCUUGUACGAGGAAGAGAUCGCCUUCUGGGGCAUCGAUGAGACGGACGUGGAGCCCUGUUGCUGGAUGACCUACCGGCAGCACCGCGAUGCAGAGGAGGCUCUGGACAGCUUCGAGCCCCCCGACCUCAACAGCGGAGACGGUGACGCCGGCGGCGGGGGAGACGGGGUCGGGGACUCGGAAGACGAACUGGACACCAAGCGACUCGCCCUGGGAGACUGUUCCCCCGAAGCCGGAGCGAAAGCCGGCUGGUGGAGAAAAUGGCAACGCCGCAUCUGGGCUCUCUUUGAAGACCCCUACUCCUCGAAAUACGCGCGGUACUGUGCUUUUGCUUCGCUUUUCUUCAUCUUGGUGUCAAUCAGCACCUUCUGCCUGGAGACCCAUGAAGCGUUCAACCCAAUCGUUAACAGAACGGAGAAUGUAACGCGAGGAAAUGAAACCACGGUGGAAAUUAGUCAGGAAACAGAAACCGAAGCUUUCUUAAUGUAUAUUGAAGGAGUCUGUGUGGUAUGGUUUACGUUUGAAUUUCUGAUGAGGAUCACUUUCUGUCCAAACAAAGUGGAGUUUAUCAAGAAUACUCUCAAUAUCAUAGACUUUGUGGCCAUUCUGCCCUUCUAUCUGGAGGUAGGACUCAGUGCUUUGUCUUCCAAAGCGGCUAAGGAUGUGCUGGGCUUCCUGAGAGUGGUUCGCUUUGUCCGAAUCCUGCGAAUCUUCAAGCUGACCCGUCAUUUUGUAGGACUGAGAGUUUUAGGACAUACUUUGCGUGCAAGCACCAAUGAAUUUCUGCUGCUCAUCAUCUUCUUGGCACUUGGCGUCCUGAUAUUUGCCACCAUGAUCUACUAUGCCGAGCGGAUAGGAGCUAAUCCCCAUGACCUGAGAGCCGAUAACCACACACACUUCAAAAAUAUUCCGAUUGGAUUUUGGUGGGCCGUAGUAACCAUGACUACACUUGGCUAUGGAGACAUGUAUCCUCAGACAUGGUCGGGCAUGUUGGUAGGAGCCCUCUGUGCUCUUUCGGGUGUGCUGACCAUUGCUAUGCCUGUCCCUGUCAUUGUCAAUAAUUUUGGAAUGUAUUACUCCUUAGCGAUGGCCAAACAAAAAUUACCAAAGAAGAAAAAGAAGCAUAUACCGAGACCGCCCCAGCUGGGAUCCCCCAAUUAUUGUAAAUCUGGUGUAAACUCUCCACAUCACAGUACACAGAGUGACACAUGCCCACUCGCUCAGGAAGAGAUUUUAGAAAUUAACAGAGCAGAUUUUAAACAGAACGGUGAUGCAGCAAAUGCAGCAUUGGCAAACGAAGAUUGUCCUCAUAUUGACCAGGCACAGACGCCUGAAGAUCACCUCCCCUUCACUCGUUCUAACACCAGGGAGAGGAAUGCCAGAGACGGGCCCUGCUUCCUCUUAUCAACCGGGGAAUUUUCAUGUCCACCCGAUGGAGGAAUAAGAAAGGGUUUUGAAAACUCAAGGAGCCUAAGCAACAGAGCUGGCAUGAGCAGAAAUAUACUAAAAUUGCCUUCAGUGUCUUCUUCGCUCUACAGCUCUCCUUGUCCAUUGAGGCUUUCUCCGUCUCCCAUACCAUCCAUUUUAUAGCAUGGAUUAGUAGCUGAGAAUGGUCCAAAGCUUUAGUCCUACAGCCUGUCCUGUCUUGCAUAAAACCAGGUAAUAAGCCUGAAGAUUGCAUGUUUCUAGUUAGCACCUUGCUGCUGGUGAUUCUACUGUUGACAUUAGGUGGGACAAUCCUCGAUGAUUUCUAGAUGGGAUCACUCUGACACAUGAUGUCACCAGUGGUAUGUAUGCUACAUGUGUUUGGCGCAUAGAUGGAAAUAAAGCAGCUACAUGCAAUUCCCAAUAAUUGAUGAUCUCGCCCAUGGCUUGGGGCAUACAGUUGUCCACUCGUGAAAACGCUGGCUCUCUUGAAAAUGGGUGACGCUUGUGUUUACUGGUGCACCAGGUCAACGUCUGAAGAUUUCUUUCUCAGGAUCUUUUAUGCCGCAUGGCCCUGAGGGAGUUCAGACAAACAUGCGGUUUGAGGGGCCGUUGCAUGGAAGCCAAACUGAUUGCGAGAAAUACUCUGUUAACCAAGGUCCCAGUUAACCUUGGGUGCAUGCAAAGGUUUUUUGAGAAGAAGGACACUGCCCUCUCUGCAUGUAGCUAUAUAUUUUUUAAGCAGAAACAAAAUGCGACAUUUAUGUUGAAGGGCAGGGGAAAGAAGGUCAAGUAUUCAUUGUAUUCUUUGCAUGCAGAUUUCUGCAAACGCAGCCCUGUCAUUGCUAAAUAUAUGCCAGCAGGGGCAGUCAGAGUAACUUAAUGAGCUGGACGCUCUGUGGGUAAUUAUCUGCCCACUGGGAACAUUUCAAGAGAAGAAGACCCACCUCUUUAGGACAAGCAAAACUACUUCAAGCCACAAAGGCUUCCGAGGACCAUUGUGUGAUUUGACCCAGAAUUGUUGGCUUCCUAAAGCCCAAUGUUUCCAAACAAAAGGUAGAAGAUUUGUAAUUUGUCUGCUAGCAUGAACUGCAUGUUAUAGAAACUGUAAUUCUAAGAUUAACUUUUAAAUCAAAGUUCUAUUUCCUUCCAAGAUACUUUACUUUUACAAAACUUUGAUGUGAUCACAAUGUAAGAAUUAACUAUAUUUAUUUGCAAUGGAUAGCUUUUUUUUUGUAAUUAUUCAUGAAACAGUGCAAGAUUAGAGAAAACAAACUGU